rnacentral:rRNA from 1 species
GACGUAGGGCGCGAGCGUUGUCCGGAUUUAUUGGGCGUAAAGAGCUCGUAGGCGGCUUGUCGCGUCGACUGUGAAAACCCGUGGCUCAACCAUGUGGUCUGCAGUCGAUACGGGCAGGCUAGAAUUCGGUAGGGGAGACUGGAAUUCCUGGUGUAGCGGUGAAAUGCGCAGAUAUCGGGAGGAACACCGGUGGCGAAGGCGGUUCUCUGGGCCUUACCUGACGCUGAGGAGCGAAAGCGUGGGGAGCGAACAGG